rnacentral:rRNA from 1 species
ACAGCAGCCGCCGCGGUAAUACGUAGGGUGCAAGCGUUAAUCGGAAUUACUGGGCGUAAAGCGUGCGCAGGCGGUUAUAUAAGUCAGAUGUGAAAUCCCCGGGCUCAACCUGGGAACUGCAUUUGAGACUGUAUGGCUAGAGUGUGUCAGAGGGGGGUAGAAUUCCACGUGUAGCAGUGAAAUGCGUAGAGAUGUGGAGGAACACCGAUGGCGAAGGCAGCCCCCUGGGCCAAUACUGACGCUCAUGCACGAAAGCGUGGGGAGCGAACAGGAUUAGAUACCCGGGUAGUCCCUGUCUCUUAUAU